UACUUUAACAUAGACUUACAGCCGUUGUAGCUCUAAGAUGAUUGUAACUCCCAUACUUUAACAUAGACUUACAGCCGUUGUAGCUCUAAGAUGAUUGUAACUCCCAUACUUUAACAUAGACUUACAGCCGUUGUAGCUCUAAGAUAAUUGUAACUCCCAUACUUUAACAUAGACCUACAAAAGUCACAGCUCUAAGAUGAUCGGAUCUCCCAUACAUUAGCAUAGACUUACAGCCGUUGUAGCUCUAAGAUGAUCGGAUCUCCCAUACAUUAGCAUAGACUUACAGCCGUUGUAGCUCUAAGAUGAUUGUAACUCCCAUACUUUAACUUAGACCUACAAAAGUCACAGCUCUAAGAAGUUCGGAACUCCAAUACUCCAUAGAUUUAAGAUAGUCACAGCUCUAAGGUGAUCGGAUCUCCAAUACUCCAUAGAUUUAAGAAAGUCACAGCUCUAAGAUGUUGGAUCUCCAAUACUCCAUAGAUUUAAGAUAGUCACAGCUCUAAGGUGAUCGGAUCUCCAAUACUCCAUAGAUUUAAGAUAGUCACAGCUCUAAGGUGAUCGGAUCUCCAAUACUCCAUAGAUUUAAGAUAGUCACAGCUCUAAGGUGAUCGGAUCUCCAAUACUCCAUAGAUUUAUGACAGUCACAGCUCUAAGAUGUUGGAUCUCCAAUACUCCAUAGAUUUAUGACAGUCACAGCUCUAAGAUGUUGGAUCUCCAAUACUCCAUAGAUUUAAGAUAGUCACAGCUCUAAGGUGAUCGGAUCUCCAAUACUCCAUAGAUUUAUGACAGUCACAGCUCUAAGAUGUUGGAUCUCCAAUACUCCAUAGAUUUAUGACAGUCACAGCUCUAAGGUGAUCGGAUCUCCAAUACUCCAUAGAUUUACGAUAGUCACAGCUCUAAGAUGUUGGAUCUCCAAUACUCCAUAGAUUUAAGAUAGUCACAGCUCUAAGGUGAUCGGAUCUCCAAUACUCCAUACAUUUAAGAAAGUCACAGCUCUAAGAUGUUGGAUCUCCAAUACUCCAUAGAUUUAAGAUAGUCACAGCUCUAAGAUGUUGGAUCUCCAAUACUCCAUAGAUUUAAGAUAGUCACAGCUCUAAGGUGAUCGGAUCUCCAAUACUCCAUAGAUUUAAGAUAGUCACAGCUCUAAGGUGAUCGGAUCUCCAAUACUCCAUAGAUUUAAGAUAGUCACAGCUCUAAGGUGAUCGGAUCUCCAAUACUCCAUAGAUUUAUGACAGUCACAGCUCUAAGAUGUUGGAUCUCCAAUACUCCAUAGAUUUAUGACAGUCACAGCUCUAAGGUGAUCGGAUCUCCAAUACUCCAUAGAUUUACGAUAGUCACAGCUCUAAGAUGAUCGGAUCUCCAAUACUCCAUAGAUUUAUGACAGUCAAAGCUCUAAGAUGAUCGGAUCUCCAAUACUCCAUAGAUUUAAGAUAGUCACAGCUCUAAGGUGAUCGGAUCUCCAAUACUCCAUAGAUUUAUGACAGUCACAGCUCUAAGAUGUUGGAUCUCCAAUACUCCAUAGAUUUAUGACAGUCACAGCUCUAAGGUGAUCGGAUCUCCAAUACUCCAUAGAUUUACGAUAGUCACAGCUCUAAGAUGAUCGGAUCUCCAAUACUCCAUAGAUUUAUGACAGUCACAGCUCUAAGAUGAUCGGAUCUCCAAUACUCCAUAGAUUUAAGAUAGUCACAGCUCUAAGGUGAUCGGAUCUCCAAUACUCCAUAGAUUUACGAUAGUCAUAGCUCUUCAAUGAUCGUAACUCCGAUACUUCAACAUAGUCUUACGACAAUUGAAACAUUAAGAUGUUCAUAGCUCUCAUACUUUAACAUAUACUUAUGAAAAUCGUAGCUCUGAGAUGAUUGUAACUCCCAUACUUUAAUAUAGACUUACUACACUUAUGGCUCUAAGAUAAUUAGAAAUCCUAGACUUAUGACAGUCAUAGCUCUAAGAUGAUCGUAACUCCCAUACUUUAACAUAGACUUAUGUACAACAGUCAUAGCUUAAGAUUGCUUUGUGGAACUGGGCGUAGGAUAAGAGAAUCUAGAAACUUGGCCAUUCCACCCUGUGUUGUGCCCUCCAAAGACACUAUGCAUUACCGUUGCCGGGAGCACUUAGAAUAGCAGCACCAGUCCAUGUAGAGGGCUGUUUCUUUACAGGGACCAUGGUGGACCACUUUCCAUUUAAAGGGGCUCUUUGAGCAAGUUAUUUUAAGUAUCCCGAUCUUUUCUUAAAUCAGUCUAAGUUACAAGAGAGUUGCUAUUGGAAUUUGGGUUUUGCUUAUGUAUGCCAAUGAAAAAGGUUUGCCAACAAAGUAAUUCAGGGCCCAACAUGUGCUCAGUGUUGACGAGCACCAACAUGUAUGCCAAUACAAAAGGUUUGCCAACAAAGAAAUUCAGUGCCCAACAUGUGCUCACUGUUGACGAGCACCAACAUGUAUGCCAAUACAAAAGGUUUGCCAACAAAGUAAUUCAGGGCCCAACAUGUGCUCACUGUUGACGAGCACCAACAUGUUUGUGAAUACAGAAGGGUUUUUUCUCUUGCCAUUAAGUUGUUCCCCAACUUGGGAAAAAUAAAUGCCAAUACUAUACUCUCCCAGCCAAAACAAACGUGAACUACAGAGAAGUAUCUACAUAAUGAAGAGAUGUUUCCCAUGUGUACAACUUAAUGGCAAAACUUACGAUCAGUCAAGUGUUACCACAGAGUGACUUUAUUCUUGUCUCGAUAUGCUGCACAUGAUUUCCAAACUUUACACGCUAAUUCUGCACGAGACAAAUGGUGCAUCUCGAGUCAUUGAUCUAUGACGUCACAUGUGAUACGUUCAGAAGCUUCGGUUCACACAACAUACCAGUAUGUCGUUUGUGUAUCGACCAAUCUAAUAUCUCUUGAACAUGAGUAAGUCUUGAUAUAUUAACCACCAUGUAUGGUAUUUGCGUUUGUUUUGGCAGGGAGUAUGUGCUAGUGAAGGGUGUUAACUAUUACCACAAUAACAUGUAUAGGUAGGUACUUGUGUUCUCUUAGGGAAACAUUUGCAAUGGCCAGAGGUGACACAAUUCAUUUGAUCAGUUAUCAUUAAAUAAAUUUAUAGUAACGUUAAACUAAAUAUGUAUUAUAGUUCUUUUUGUACCUUUCCAUUUUUCUAUUCCAUCAAGGGGUGGUCAGGUAGCCUAGUGGUUAAAGCGUUCGCUCGUCACGCCCAAGACCCGGGUUCGAUUCCCGACAUGGGUACAAUGUGUGAAGCCCAUUGCUGGUGUCCCCCGCCAUGAUAUUGCUGGAAUAUUGCUAAAAGCAGCAUAAAACCAAACUCACUCACUCACUCACUCACUAUUCCAUCAAAGAUUUAAACUAUAUCCUGAUUGUAAUCCUCUGACACAAAAUGCUGAGAAAAUGGAAAAACAAAGAUUAUUGUUAUAUUCUAAAAAUAUUUUUAUCACAGCCGACCAUGAAAACUUGUGCACCAAAACAAAAGCAUAUUUCUAGAAUCUUGUAACACAGUAACGAGACUUAGCCCCCACAAUUCGCCAUUGUACAGAAGGAACUGCUUCUGAAAUGAUUUACAUGACAAUGCAGUGUUGACAGUUAGGGCAGCAACUCCAACCACAUCCAGGCACCUUGUCAUGUCAGAAUUAUUUGUCAAAAAUAAUUUCACCCUACCAACUGAUUUUUUGGAGAAAAAUCAGUAAACCAACUUAAAAGUGGCCGAACCAGAGAGAUAUGACUCAUUAUUACUGUGGUCUGAGUUUUAGUCUCAUUUUGAUUCCGUUUCUCUCCAGUAGGUCUGGGUGCAGGGGCUUCAGUAGUCUGUUUAGAAGUGUAGAUUUCUCAUUCGGCUAAAAACAAUAAUAGUCUUGGUUCUCAGGCACUGCCCGCAUUAUCAUAAAGUCUGCCGCACGUUUCGUUUUUAUUUCAAUUUUAAAAAAAUUAAUAAGUCCUAAUACUUUAAAAAAGUGAUCCAACAUUGCAUGCAGUUACCUCCCUUUACAUGCACACUGAUUUACUGAUCUCCUGUUAUGGUCAGGGCAGCAAUAGGAGUUUGUAUGCUUUUUUAUGUAGGGAGGCCCUUUCCCAAGUUGAUGGUACACAACUGUUUAUUUGGUUACAUACUAGUUCAAACAAGCAAAAAACCUCCGCCCACCCGUACUAUGUUUACAAAAGUCAUUGCCUGAGAACCAAUUAUUUUAUUUUUUUAAGCCUUAGGCAAUCGUUAUUUAGAUAGGAAUAUGAGCCUGUUAUGACACGGCCUUUUUUCCAUGUAGCAUGGUGUUGGGUUUCAUACAGGUGUAGCAUGGGAGCUACAGGUCUCCAGUGUACAUAGUGUAUAUUGUUAUUCAUACAGUCACCAUGGUUACUUCCUUUGUAUUUAGAUUUACUUGUUGAUCUCUUAUCUUGUUGCAUUUACCUUAUCAUUGAUUUCCCAGGAAUAAAUCCUUCAAACUAAA
rnacentral:lncRNA from 1 species